rnacentral:rRNA from 1 species
CCUAGGGGGUAUUGCACUUACCGAAGACUAUCAAACUCCGAAUGCCGUUUUCUUUUACUUGGGAGUCAGACUGUGGGUGAUAAGAUUCAUAGUCAAAAGGGCAACAGCCCAGAUCGUCAGCUAAGGUCCCUAAAUGUAAGUUAAGUGGUAAAGGAUGUGGAAUUGCACAGACAACCAGGAUGUUGGCUUAGAAGCAGCCACUCAUUUAAAGAGUGCGUAAUAGCUCACUGGUCGAGUGAUUCUGCGCCGAAAAUUUCCGGGGCUAAAACUUACUACCGAAGCUACGGCAUCAUUAUGAUGGGUAGGGGAGCUUUCUAUGUGGCUUGAAGCAUGACCGUAAGGACAUGUGGACUGCAUAGAAGUGAGAAUGUUGGCAUGAGUAGCGAGAUGUGGGUGAGAAUCCCACAGGCCGUAAACCCAAGGUUUCCAGGGGAAGGUUCGUCCGCCCUGGGUUAGUCAGGACCUAAGCCGAGGCCGAAAGGCGUAGGUGAUGGACAACAGGUUGAUAUUCCUGUACCACCAAUAACCGUUUGAGAAAUGGGAUGACACAGUAGGAUAAGCUAACCGUACUGUUGGUUAUGUACGGCUAAGCAUUGAGGCAGUCUAAAUAGGCAAAUCCGUUUAGACAAUGCUAGGAUGUGAUGGGGAAGCCCUUCGGGGCGAAGUAGCUGAUUUCACACUGUCAAGAAAAGCUUCUAUCGAGUUUAAAGGCGCCCGUACCGUAAACCGACACAGGUGGGUGAGGAGAGUAUCCUAAGGCCAGCGAGAGAACUAUUGUUAAGGAACUCGGCAAAAUGACCCCGUAACUUAGGGAGAAGGGGUGCCUGUCUAUGACAGGCCGCAGAGAAUAGGCCCAAGCGACUGUUUACCAAAAACACAGGUUUCUGCUAAGUCGCAAGACGAUGUAUAGGAGCUGACGCCUGCCCGGUGCUGGAAGGUUAAGGGGAUCUGUUAGAGCAAUCGAAGCAGUGAACUUAAGCCCCAGUAAACGGCGGCCGUAACUAUAACGGUCCUAAGGUAGCGAAAUUCCUUGUCGGGUAAGUUCCGACCCGCACGAAAGGCGUAACGAUUUGGGCACUGUCUCAACAACAGACUCGGUGAAAUUGUAAUACCGGUGAAGAUGCCGGUUACCUGCGACAGGACGGAAAGACCCCAUGGAGCUUUACUGUAGCUUGACAUUGAGUCUCGGUGCUACAUGUACAGGAUAGGUGGGAGACUAUGAAGCAUGGACGUCAGUCUGUGUGGAGUCAUCCUUGGGAUACCACCCUUGUAGUACUGGGAUUCUAACCAGAGGCCAUGAAUCUGGUCUUGGGACACUGUCAGGUGGACAGUUUGACUGGGGCGGUCGCCUCCCAAAAAGUAACGGAGGCGCUCAAAGGUUCUCUCAGUACGGUCGGAAAUCGUACGAAGAGUGUAAAGGCAAAAGAGAGCUUGAUUGCAAGACAUACAGGUCGAGCAAGGACGAAAGUCGGACUUAGUGAUCCGGUGGUUCCGCAUGGAAGGGCCAUCGCUCAACGGAUAAAAGCUACCCUGGGGAUAACAGGCUUAUCUCCCCCAAGAGUCCACAUCGACGGGGAGGUUUGGCACCUCGAUGUCGGCUCAUCGCAUCCUGGGGCUGUAGUCGGUCCCAAGGGUUGGGCUGUUCGCCCAUUAAAGCGGCACGCGAGCUGGGUUCAGAACGUCGUGAGACAGUUCGGUCCCUAUCCGUCGCGGGCGUAGGAAAUUUGAGAGGAUCUGCUCCUAGUACGAGAGGACCAGAGUGGACUUACCGCUGGUGUACCAGUUGUUCUGCCAAGAGCAUCGCUGGGUAGCUAUGUAGGGAAGGGAUAAACGCUGAAAGCAUCUAAGUGUGAAGCCCACCUCAAGAUGAGAUUUCCCAUGAUUUUAUAUCAGUAAGAGCCCUGAGAGAUGAUCAGGUUGAUAGGUUAGAAGUGGAAGUGUGGUGACACAUGUAGCGGACUAAUACUAAUAGCUCGAGGACUUAUCCAA